AACAGAGGUAGCUGUAGACAGCGAGCAUAGAACCUUCGAGUAGUUGCUAGUAGUAACCAGAUAAGGAAGUAGUGACGCAAGUGCUUACGCAAGAUAAGAGGGGCGUAGACGAAGUUGUACAAGGCUGUAUAAGCUACUGCCACGAGUUAAUAAACGCCAUUUUACCACCCACCACAUUGGUGUGCACCUGGGGUAGAUGGACAGACCGUUGAGUCCCUAACGAUUGCGAACACCUGGAUGAAGCGGAAGGCUUCAUAUGGUGACCCCGACGUGAUUGUUAGGGAAUAGUGGUCGGCCACAGGCGGCGUGGCGAUCCUGCUCUCAUCCGUCUCCCUUGGGGAAGGAGGCGAUGACCCUAGAAGAGGGGGCUGCGGCUUAGGAGAGUGGAAGCUGGGUAGCGUCGGAGGUACGGCCGAUAGCCUAUAAGGCCUGCCGAGGACCCAGGAAACCAUCGGAAGAGGAGCCCGGUGGUUGCUUGAUCCGCGGGGAGAUCGCGCCCGGCGGAGUGAACAUGGAAGCCGUCAUAAAGGUAUGGCUCCUGUGAACGCCGAAGAAGGAGACAGCCCAGGAACCCCGAAAGAAGGCCGGGAGAAGCGUGGAGGAAACUCAACCGUUGCUGCCAAUGAGAAAACGCGUUUCUAACAGGGGCGUGGAUGUGAAGACCUAGAAGGGAUGUGUUGCUUCAAUCUUAGCGAUCACAGUGAAUCCAUGCACAAGAAGCUCCAGUAUCUGAAGGAACAUGUCAACAAGAUCGGCGUGGAAACAGACCCCAUCGGGGACUGGCUGAGAAGUGUGUUCGGAGGCAUAGGAGAAUGGGGUGUGCACUUAUUGAAGGGACUGCUUUUAGGGCUUGUAGUUAUCCUACUUUUGGUAGUAUGUGUACCGUGCUUUCUACAAAUUAUGCUAGGUUGUAUUCAAAGGAUGAUUGACCGCACAGUUAACUAUCGCGUAGAAUAUAGUAAAAUGCAAAAGGCUUGUAGGCAGUCAGGAAACGCGGCGGUAUAAGGGUAGCGCGGGAUUACUUUGCGAUUCGGGAUGUAAUGGGGCAAGGCUUAACUGAGAGGACAAUGGCAUGUAUAGGCGCAAAGCGGGGCUUCGGUUGUACGCGGUUAGGGUCCUCUCAGAAUGGGGUAAUUACGCUUGUGCAUAGGGAGGGGGAGAUGUAGACAGCGAGCAUAGAACCUUCGAGUAGUUGCUAGUAGUAACCAGAUAAGGAAGUAGUGAUGCAAGUGCUUACGCAAGAUAAGAGGGGCAUAGACGAAGUUGUACAAGGCUAUAUAAGCUACUGCCACGAGUUAAUAAACGCCAUUUUACCACCCACCA